rnacentral:rRNA from 1 species
CAGCAGCCACGGGAAUACGAAGGGUGCAAGCGUUAUUCGGAAUCACUGGGCGUAAAGAGUUCGUAGGCGGUUUGUUAAGUCGAAUGUGAAAGCCCUGGGCUCAAUCCAGGAAGUGCAUUCGAUACUGGCAAGCUGGAGUGCAGGAGAGGAAGGCGGAAUUCCAGGUGUAGAGGUGAAAUUCGUAGAUAUCUGGAGGAACAACAGAGGCGAAGGCGGCCUUCUGGACUGUCACUGACGCUGAGGAACGAAAGCGUGGGGAGCAAACAGGAUUAGAUACCCCGGUAGUCCCUGUCUCUUAUAC